CCCGGGCCUUGUACACACCGCCCGUCACACCACGAGAGUUUGUAACACCCGAAGUCGGUGAGGUAACCUAUUAGGAGCCAGCCGCCUAAGGUGGGAUAGAUGAUUGGGGUGAAGUCGUAACAAGGUAGCCGUAUCGGAAGGUGCGGCUGGAUCACCUCCUUUCUAAGGAA
rnacentral:rRNA from 1 species